rnacentral:lncRNA from 1 species
GUACCAGAUUGUUUUGAUAAUUACUGUUUUCUCAUACAGUUUACAAUCUGAUCCUGCUAGACCUCCAUCCUUUACAUUUUUUCCCAAUAAUUCUUUUGAAAUUCUUGAUCUUUUAUUUUUCCAAAUGAAUUUUGUUAUUUUUUUUUCAGGCUCAAUAACACGAGAUUUUGGUAAUUUGAUUGGGAUGGCAUUGACUCAUUUUGCAGAUGAGGAAACCAAGACAAAAAGGAUUAAGUGCCCAGGGUCACACAGCUGGAAUGUGUCUGAGGCCAGAUUUGAAUCCAGUUAGAUGAAUCUUCCUGACUCCAAGAAUAGCAUUCUAUCCACUGCACUGCCUGAGAUAAGAAGCCAUAUUUUCUGACUUCAAAUCAAACAUUCUUUCUCCUAUAUCACACUAAUUUGGGUCAAAGUCCUUGAAAAUCUGAAGAAAAAUCAACUAAUUGAGGUAAUUAAUUUUUAUUUGAUUUUGAAAUAUUAGAAAAAAAGGCUGAAAGAGGUGUGAGCUGAAGAAAUGGAUUGUGUUGAGAUUAUGCACAUAAGGUCUUGUUGUUCAGUAAUUUCAGUUGUGUCUGACUCUUUGUAAGUUUUCUUUGCAAAGAUACUGGAGCAGUAUGCCACUUCCUUCUCCAAACCUUUUUAUAGAUGAGGAACUGAGGCAAAUAGGGUUAAGUGACAUGUGACUUGUCCAGGGUCACGCAACUAGUAAGGGUCAAAGGCAAAUAGGGUUAAGUGACAUGUGACUUGUCCAGGGUCACACAACUAGUAAGGGUCAAAGGCAAAUAGGGUUAAGUGACAUGUGACUUGUCCAGGGUCACACAACUAGUCAGGGUCAAAGGCAAAUAGGGUUAAGUGACUUGUGACUUGUCCAGGGUCACACAACUAGUAAGGGUCAAAGGCAAAUAGGGUUAAGUGACUUGUGACUUGUCCAGGGUCACACAACUAGUAAGGGUAAAAGGCCAGAUUUGAAUUCAUGUCUUUCUCACUCCAUACCUAACACUCUGUCCUCUGUGUCACCUAGUUUGCCCCACAUGACGUCUUAAAACAAAGAAAACAUUUUAAAAUACUGCUUUCCAAUAAGAACAUAAAUAACCUUCUUCAGCUGUUCUGAUAUCUGUGAAAAUUUACGAUGCAUAAUCACUUCUGGGAAUAGAGCAGUAGUAUUUAACCUAGCUCCUCAGUCUGCCAUUUAAAACUCCACAAUCUGGCUGCAACGUAUCUCCUCUGACUUGUAUUCUAUUCUCUUUUGUGCAUAUGACUGACCUACAUUCACUCCUGCCAGACUGGUCUAC